UUUACUUCCACAAAGGAUUCAGUGAAACUGGAUAUUAGGAAUCAUAAGAAAAUGACACCAUUGCUGGAAUCCGUCUCCAGGGCCCACCUUGGAAUAAUCCAUAAACUUAUUAUACAUGAAUGCCGAUGACAAUGAUGGCAAUAAUUGUUUGCACCUCUCCAUAAUAAAGAAAGAGAUGUUCCAUUCUGAGGUGAAAACCAUUCCCAUUUUAGAUGAGUGCUGCAAAGAGCUCCAACUGGACAUGGUUAGGAGGCUCUCUGGAAUAGUAGUUGGGAGUUAUCUUGCCAGCCAAGGAGCCAGCUUAUACCAUCGUAAUAAGAAGAAAGUGACCCCAUUGGACUACAUAAAAAAUCAACAUUUGAAA